AAUUAUAGAGAACACUUUCUUUUUUAUAAAUAAAAUUGUAAACAACAUUUGUGCGUCACAAAUAAGUUUUUUAUUUAGUAGGAUAGUAUGAAAGCGUGUGAAUUCCCAAAUAAAGAGUUAUACUUUAUAGUUUGUUUAUACACACAUGGCUUUAUCUUCUUGAAAAUGUGUGACAAAGACAUAACACCGAGUGGCCAUGUUUUUCUUGCAUGAUUUCACUUAAAAAUAAAUUUGGUAAAUUACAUAAGAAGCAUUACUAUUCAAGUGACUAUAUUACAAGCAAUCUCCCUUUUAUAACAUGUCUCAUUUUCUUCUAAUUUUUCACCAACUAUGAGCCAAAAGUAGCACAUCACCAAAAUGGGUUGGCUUCAAUCCCUACUCUGCCCAUUGAAGAAGCUCUGGAUUCGUCUUCAUUCAACCAAUAAAAAGAGUAGAGGGAUAUACAUCUUAUAUAAGGAUGUAAAGUCAUGUCCAUGCGAAGAUGUGCAUGUCCUAUGGUCAAUAUUGGUCGAGUCAGGGGCAGCCCCUGCUUCUUUGCCAACCAAAGUGUAGACACACAAAAUAUAUUGAUAUAGUUUCCCUUCAAAUACAUGUAAAUAUUCACAACAUUUUAAUUAUGUGCAAAUUUCUGAUUGCUUCUACAUGUAUUCCUAAUCCUAAUAAUAUUUUUAUGAAAGUGGCGCCAUAAAUACAACUUA